GUGCCCGUUUGUCAUGUAGGGGUACAAUCAGUACGUACAUCUCGGCAUUGUCAUUUCUAUCAUAUGCACAUCCAGUUCUAAUGUAUAAAAGUCCUAAUGCAUCAGUUAAAUAUCACAAAGCAUUACAUCACGGUACUCUUUAUGUUCUCAACAAGUGCCUUAGGGGCUGAUGUGGGCAUACCCAUUAUAUUUUGAAGGGGAUGGGCCUCCUGUCUGCUGUGUAAGGGCAGUAAGUCACACUAAUCCCUCCGUCUUGACCCCUCCAUGCCUUAUUUCCCAGCGCUACGGGUAGGAUAGGUCCCGUGUCCUGGUUCGGGUGCUGUCUCUCACUGCGGGCCUAUUCGUUUUAGGGGGGGUAGUUACCCAGGUGGAACGUCACUUGUAGCCCCACACAUUACGUCUCCCUUGCUGGAUCCAUUUGUAAAAUUCUCUAGGGGGGUUUGACUGGGUCUCACUAAUUGUCAGGUCCAGUCAUGAACGUUCAC